rnacentral:rRNA from 1 species
AUUGAACGCUGGCGGCAUGCUUUACACAUGCAAGUCGAACGGCAGCGGGUCCUUCGGGAUGCCGGCGAGUGGCGAACGGGUGAGUAAUGCAUCGGAACAUACCCAGUCGUGGGGGAUAACGUAGCGAAAGUUACGCUAAUACCGCAUACGUCCUGAGGGAGAAAGCGGGGGAUCUUCGGACCUCGCGCGAUUGGAGUGGCCGAUGUCAGAUUAGCUAGUUGGUGGGGUAAAGGCCCACCAAGGCGACGAUCUGUAGCGGGUCUGAGAGGGUGAUCCGCCACACUGGGACUGAGACACGGCCCAGACUCCUACGGGAGUCAGCAGUGGGGAAUUUUGGACAAUGGGGGCAACCCUGAUCCAGCCAUGCCGCGUGCGGGAAGAAGGCCUUCGGGUUGUAAACCGCUUUCGGACGGAAAGAAAUCGCUUGGGUUAAUACCCUGAGUGGAUGACGGUACCGUAAGAAGAAGCACCGGCUAACUACGUGCCAGCCGCCGCAGUAA